GAUGAACGCUGGCGGCGUGCCUAAUACAUGCAAGUCGAGCGAACAGACGAGGAGCUUGCUCCUUUGACGUUAGCGGCGGACGGGUGAGUAACACGUGGGUAACCUACCUAUAAGACUGGGAUAACUUCGGGAAACCGGAGCUAAUACCGGAUAAUAUUUCGAACCGCAUGGUUCGAUAGUGAAAGAUGGCUUUGCUAUCACUUAUAGAUGGACCUGCGCCGUAUUAGCUAGUUGGUAAGGGAACGGCUUACCAAGGCAACGAUACGUAGCCGACCUGAGAGGGUGAUCGGCCACACUGGAACUGAGACACGGUCCAGACUCCUACGGGAGGCAGCAGUAGGGAAUCUUCCGCAAUGGGCGAAAGCCUGACGGAGCAACGCCGCGUGAGUGAUGAAGGUCUUCGGAUCGUAAAACUCUGUUAUUAGGGAAGAACAAACGUGUAAGUAACUGUGCACGUCUUGACGGUACCUAAUCAGAAAGCCACGGCUAACUACGUG
rnacentral:rRNA from 1 species